rnacentral:rRNA from 1 species
AACGAACGCUGGCGGCAGGCUUAACACAUGCGAGUCGAACGCACCUUUCGGGGUGAGUGGCAGACGGGUGAGUAACGCGUGGGAAUCUACCCUUCUCUACGGGAUAGCUCCGGGAAACUGGAAUUAAUACCGUAUACGUCCUGAGGGAGGAAGAUUUAUCGGGGAAGGAUGAGCCCGCGUUGGAUUAGCUAGUUGGUGGGGUAAAGGCCUACCAAGGCGACGAUCCAUAGCUGGUCUAAGAGGAUGAUCAGCCACAUUGGGACUGAGACACGGCCCAAACUCCUACGGGAGGCAGCAGUGGGGAAUAUUGGACAAUGGGCGCAAGCCUGAUCCAGCCAUGCCGCGUGAGUGAUGAAGGCCCUAGGGUUGUAAAGCUCUUUCAGUGGGGACGAUAAUGACGGUACCCACAGAAGAAGCCCCGGCUAACUUCGUG